rnacentral:rRNA from 1 species
UGGGGAAUAUUGCACAAUGGGGGAAACCCUGAUGCAGCGACGCCGCGUGAGCGAAGAAGUAUUUCGGUAUGUAAAGCUCUAUCAGCAGGGAAAGAAAUGACGGUACCUGACUAAGAAGCCCCGGCUAACUACGUGCCAGCAGCCGCGGUAAUACGUAGGGGGCAAGCGUUAUCCGGAUUUACUGGGUGUAAAGGGAGCGUAGACGGCAUGACAAGCCAGAUGUGAAAAGCCCGAGGGCUCCAAGCCCUGGGACUGCAUUUGGAACUGCCAGGCUGGAGUGCAGGAGAGGUAAGCGGAAUUCCUAGUGUAGCGGUGAAAUGCGUAGAUAUUAGGAGGAACACCAGUGGCGAAGGCGGCUUACUGGACUGUAACUGACGUUGAGGCUCGAAAGCGUGGGGAGCAAACAGGAUUAGAUACCC